rnacentral:lncRNA from 1 species
GAUAGGUUCAUCAACCGUGGAAAAAUGCUCAGCCAUAGUGUCAUGCUGCAUAUUAAGAGAAUCUGUCUUUGUGAGCUCCAUGCAAUUGUGCAGAGGUAUAUUUACUCGGAAAAGAAAGCCCUGAAAGAUCUGAGCAAAAAGGCCGAAAUGACAGAAAAAUAUCUGAGGGAUUGGUUCAAAAUAUUCAACAGCUGCUAUGAAAUCAGGUUGUAUGUUCAACAGUUGUGCACUGACGAGAAUGAGAUGCCUGACUCUGCUGGCACCGUCUCUAUGCUACAGACCCUGGAGAUUCAAGCUAAAAAUCUCCUCCUGGAAAAAUUUGAUCGGCUAGCAGAGGUCAAUUUAAAAAAGUAUUUCCAUGAAGAAGACAGAUACAUGGACACACUGAAGAUGUCUCUCAAGAAAUAUCUAGCAGUGUUUCCAGAGGAAAUUAUGUCACGUGGUGUUAUUCUGGAUGAGGUGUAUGGCUGCAUCAUCUCUGUCUACCAGAAGCAGCUGCUGAAAAAAAGCAAAUACAAGAAGCUCUCAGAAAGGUGGGGUGAUGUUGGAGACAGGAUAACAAGAGAUGCUGAGGAGUUGCACUCUUUCUUCUGCGCGAAGUCAUGUGUGAAAGACAGGAAUAAAGUGUUAUUGCAAAUCAGCAUGGUUUUGGGGUGGACUGAUGUGAGCAGAAGGUUCUGCUCUAACCUGGACAUCAACCAUGACAACAGUGACAAGCUGCUGUACGAAGUGUUGGUCUGGUGGGGAGGACGAUCCGCACAAGAGAAGGCGAUGAUACGAGAGUACAAAUUCAGGGCUGGAUCUUUACCAUCUUGUUGUCUCUGGUGGCCUCUUCGCUGCUGCUGAAGACUGCACUGUCGUCCUCAUGCUCCAGUGGGAUUUUCUAUCACUGACUCACUAUCCUAAACCGCCUAGUCUUGUUACUCAGAGUCGUGGCUGCCGGAGUCCAUCCCUGGACACUGAGCGCAGGACGGGGACUCACCCCGUGCGGGCAACAGCCCACCUAAAGGCACACACACACCAUUCACUCACAAACUCACACCUAUGGUAAAUUUAGGGUAAAUUUACCCUGUGUGCAUGGGUGGCGGGAGGAAAGUGGAGACCCUGGAGGGAACCAGCGCCAACACAAGCAGAGCAUGCAAACGCCACACACACAAGGUCCGAGUCGGGAUUCAAACUCCACAGAGCGGUGCAGCCCCACUGAAAUAUUAUCUGACAAAAAAUAUUCACUGAAAUUCACUGACAGCUAUAGACUAUGAAAGCACUUCUCCUUCACCGUUCUUCAUCAUCCUUUUCUUGCAGUUAUUACACUUCUUUUCUACAAACACAAUAUUUAUGAACUAUGAUUGUAUGUGUUAUAACAUGCAUUUUGAAGCAUAUAUUCAAUAUAUGUACGUUUCUUCUCUUACUCGUGAUGUAUGUCAAAUAAUGAAUGGGUU